rnacentral:snRNA from 1 species
GUGCUCGCUUCGGCAGCACAUAUACUAAAAUUGGAAUGAUACAGAGGUCAGCAUGGCCCCUGAGCAAGGAUGACACGCAAAUCCUAGACACCUUCCCACCAUCC